rnacentral:rRNA from 1 species
AUGGGCAAUGUUUGCUGCUGUUUUUAAGUUGAUCAAUUUACCAUGGCCAUCAGAGAGCAGUUUGGGAAGUUUGAUAGCGUACUUGAGCCAGGAUGCCACUGCCUGCCUUGGAUCUUUUAGACAUGCGUAGUUGGGUAUCUCACACUCAGGUUGCAGCAGCUGGAUGUGCGCUAUGAAACUAAGACAAAGGUGUAUUACUUUAUCUUAAACUCCCAGCUAAAUGGAUGCUUAUUUGACUUUUAUUUCUGA